UUAAUUGAAACCAAAUUAGAGGUAUAUCACUGUUAAUGAUAAAAUUGAGAAACUCUCCAAUUAAG
rnacentral:tRNA from 1 species